rnacentral:pre_miRNA from 1 species
UCUUAUGGAUGAGCAAAGAAAAUGGUUUCUUGGAAUCUACUUCUGGUGAAGAUGCUGUGAA